GACGAACGCUGGCGGCGUGCUUAACACAUGCAAGUCGAACGGAAAGGCCCUGCUUUUGUGGGGUGCUCGAGUGGCGAACGGGUGAGUAACACGUGAGUGACCUGCCCUUGACUUUGGGAUAACUUCAGGAAACUGGGGCUAAUACCGGAUAGGAGCUCCUGCUGCAUGGUGGGGGUUGGAAAGUUUCGGCGGUUGGGGAUGGACUCGCGGUUUAUCAGCUUGUUGGUGGGGUAGUGGCUUACCAAGGCUUUGACGGGUAGCCGGCCUGAGAGGGUGACCGGCCACAUUGGGACUGAGAUACGGCCCAGACUCCUACGGGAGGCAGCAGUGGGGAAUAUUGCACAAUGGGCGGAAGCCUGAUGCAGCAACGCCGCGUGCGGGAUGACGGCCUUCGGGUUGUAACCCGCUUUCGCCUGUGACGAAGCGUGAGUGACGGUAAUGGGUAAAGAAGCACCGGCUAACUACGUG
rnacentral:rRNA from 1 species